UCCACUUCUACCUCAUCCCCACUCUUGCAGCUUCCAUGGAGAACUCAGAACAGGUCUUGAGUGAGAGCUGCAACUCUUACAGGUGGUUGAUGUGCGUCAAAUCCUCACUUGACUCCCUUGGUGACAGCCACCGCUCCUUCGACACCCAAGACGGCAGCUCCUUCAUCGAAGUUGACCCUGAAUGCAUCUCCCUGCGUUGGGCAAUCGAUGCCAAUGGCUUCGGUUUUGAUCUGCCAAGAUCACAGUCUUCAGAUCACAUCCUCUUCUCCAGUGGUCUCCUUCAGUUGCCUGUUCUCGACAAAUCUGAGUCGCUGAGUUCAUCAAGGUCACUUCUUUCCCUGCCCAACCACUGCCGGAGUAUAUCCUCAUCCUUGAUCUCUUCGACUCUCUUCCAUUCAGCACACGACACACCCUCAUCCAGAAGUCUCGCUUCAAGGAAUGCAAAGUUGAGGCACUGUGCUGGAUGUCUGAAGAAGGUUAUAUGGAGAUACAUGUGCUUUCUGAUGCACUUAUGUGAGAAGGUAAAAACCUUGAGAUUGACUUCAUCAAGAUCAGAGAAGAGCUGCACGAACUUGGCUGGGAGUUCUCGGAGGACGAGUGAUUCCUGCUCGAGCAUAGAAUGUUGCAACAGCUAUGCUGAUAUAUCAAUCCAUGAUGCAAUUCUUCACUGCAAAAAAUCAAAUGAGCAGGAUAAGUGAUCAGGAUUGUAGAAGAGCAAGGAAGAAAGGAACCAGUUUCUCCAUUUUCAUCAGGGAUGAACUCUCCACAAAGAAUGAGAAAUCAAUUAUAUUUGAUCCAUGCAGUCAAAGAAAGAAAUGACAACCAUAAAAGAAAGAAAGAGAGUCAUCUUCCUACGGUUAACUUCCUCUGUCUCUUGGUUUCAAGAAAGUGUAAUUUCCACUGUUCAGAGAACAAAGAACAGCAAAUGUAUAUUUAUGGGUCUUGUGAAAUGCCACCAUGUAAUAGAUUGCAACCAGAUCAUGUUUUCUGUGCA